GGGUUUCUGCAACCUCCAGCAACGGCUGGAACUAUGUCGGAAGAGACUCUUAAUCUCUAGGUUCCAGGUUCGAGUCCUGGGCGGCUCA
rnacentral:tRNA from 1 species